ACUACCUUAUUCUUCGAUCUUUUUAUUUUUACAUGUUGUUUCCUCUACUUCCUUUGUCAUACUGGUUGUUGUUUGUUUUUUUUUUUUUUUGUUGAAGUAAGUUGUUUCAUUUCGGUAUCAAGCAAAUGCAAAGAGUACAAAAGUAGUUAUGCUAGAUCCAUUACAAUAUAAAAGUUAAAACCCAGGAGCCAGCCACUAAAUCAAAAAAACUAAAGAAGACUUAACAUGACUAUGGACAGCCUAGAGUUAAAGAGCCAAUGAAAUCUACGUAAGCAGUAGAAGUAGAACUACUCAUGUAUGUCGGGUUGGACCAACAAAAUAGAUUGAACAAACAUUUGGUCUUGAGAAUUUGAAUAGGAGUUGAAAUUCCAUCAAAACACCUACGGUUCCUUUCUGUCCUUAGGCACCAAAAAAUACAUACGGUCUUGAGUAUCUGAUAGUUUGAGGCAUCACCCCUUUCAAAUUGAAGAGGGAAAGGUACACAUGCCACAUAUCCGCAGCCACUACGCAAUGCAAGAAAAGAUGAUUAACUAAUUCUGUGUUUUCCCGACACAAAAAACAUCUACUAACCAGCUGGAAAUUUCUUCUACAAAGAUUGUCGAGUGCCAAACAAGAAUUCAGCAAUGCCAACCAACUGCAGCCCAUUACCUUCGGCGGUAACUUUGUUUUCCAAAUAAGCUUCCAUGGCCAUAAAUCUAUGAUAUCAUUUCGGGCAUUCAGCAAUUUAGACCCUUCCGUUACACUGUAUUUAUUUGCCUUAGGACCCUAACAAAAGAUAUUUGUAGCUUGAGGGGUUAUGUUGGAAUCUUUCAGUCUACCCAUUAAUUCAAACAGGCUCUCAAGCUCCCAAUCGUUGAAGUUUCUCCUGUAUAGUAAAUUCCAGUGAUUGCCCUCUCUGUUUUGUGCAACUGUAGAGUCAGGAUCAUGUGCAAAAGGAAAUUCCCAAGCCACUUGUCUUCCCAGAAUUUCACUUUCGGCCAUUCCCAACUUUGAAUGAAAUUUCUUGAAAGAAAUCUUCCCGAUAUUUUCAUAUAUGUUUCCAUGGCCUUAUCCCAUGUGGAGAAUUACUUUGGUUAGUACACCAGUGGUUUAGUUUACCAUGCUUGGCUGUAACUACUACUUUCCAUAAGCUAUUACCCUCCAUUACAUAUAUCUAUAGCCACUGUAACAACAUGUUUUUGUUAUGCUUGGCUAGGUCCCUGAUUCCCAACCCCCCUUAUUGCUUUGGUCUAACCAUAUUAGACCAUUUAACUAAGUGAAACUUAAGCCCUUCAUUGUUACCCUCCCAAAGAAAGUUCCUCCUAACUUUAACCUGCUGCUUCAAGACUUUACUAGGCAAUGGAGAUAGUGACAUGAGAUACGUGGGUAUACUAUCCAUGACACUAUUGAUAAGAGUUAAUCUACCACCAUUGAAAGAUAUUGCCUCUGCCAAGUAGCCAGCCUUUUCUCUACCUUCUCUAUAACACCACUCCAAAUAUCGCUGGACUUAUAUUGCCCCGAAAGGUAGACCCAAGUAGGUUGCUGAUAAAGACCCCACACUCACUGGGUAAAUCACAUUCUUGAGCAUAUUGAUGUGGAGACCUGAAAUAGCUUCAAAUAUUAGAAGGGUUAAGUUAAGAUGUUCUACUUUGGAUCUUUCAGCACCAUAGACUAUCAAGGUAUCAUCGGCAAAAAGCAAAUGAGAAACUGAUAUUGGGAUAUCUGCAUUGUUUCCCAUAGUAAAGCCCUCAAUCCACUGCAACUGAUUGGCUCUGUCCAACAUCUUGCUGUGGCCUUCCAUAGCAAGAAUAAAAAGGAAGGGUGGGAGGGGGUCACCCUGUCUAAUGCCUUUUUGCGAAAAAAAAAUCCAACUGGACUUCUGGUAACUAAAACAGAGUAUUUGACUGUAGUGAUGCUGUAUUUGAUCCAUUUAAUCCACCUAUCUCCAAAACCCAUCUUCCUCAACAUAUUUAAGAGGUAAGUUCAACUGACUUAAUCAAAGGCUUUUUCAAUAUCCAGUUUACACAAAAUACCUAGCUCUCCACUUUUGAGCUUCCAGUCUAGAGCUUCAUUAGCUAUUAAAACAACAUUUGUGAUUUACGUGAACUUGAUGAAAGCAUUUUGUUGCACUGAAAUCGGCGUCCUAAUUACAGUUUUAAGUCUUUCUUGGCAAGAAUUUUCUAGACACUGCCAAUAAGGCUUAUUGGCCUGUAGUCUCUAAGUUCAAUAACAUCUUUUUUUUUGAAACAAGAGCAAUAAAAGAAGUAUUGUUGUACCUAACCAUGUAAUAGUGUUGAUGGAGUGAUGCAUUGCCCCCAAAACAUCAGUUUUAAUGAAACCCCAUGUCUUCUGGUAAAAUGGUAUAGUAUAGCUGUAAGGACCCAGAGGAGCGCAAGAGUUAAUUGCUGGAAGAAUUUCAUCCUCUUCAAAAGCUCUUUCUAACCAUUCUUUUUCCUCCAAAGUAACGCUGCCUAGAUUAUCAAAGGUUGCAGUAGGCCUUCAUUGCUCUUUUUCAGUGUAAAUAUCUUUGAUAAAAGUCGAGAAUUUUAUUCUUGAUUUGAUCUUUGUCAUUAAUAAUCUCAUCUUCCACCUUUAAUAUAUCAAUUUGAUUGUUCCUCCUAUAGGAAUUUGCAAUCUUCUGAAAAUAUUUGGUAUUUCUAUCACCCUUCUUGAGCUAUAAACACCUCAUUUUUUUUUGCCUCCAUGACACUUCUUCAGCCUUAGCAAUCUGUUGUAAUUCCAUUUUUAGGACCAAAAUCUAUCUUUUCCUGCUUGGGAUGGAAGCCUAUUUUUGGUUGCCUGCUCAAUAGCCAUAAGUUCAUCCAGUGCUUUGCUCUUUCUAGUUUCUAGCUUGCCAAAGAUUUCUCUUUUCCAAACAAUGAUAUCUAUUCUAAGACACCUCAAUGUCUAAGAUAAAAUAAAAUAUGGACUACCCCCAAUAGAGUAGUUUUGCCACCAUUCUUUAAAUUUAUCUAAGAAUCCUUCCUCUUGCAACCAUAUAUUUUCAAAUUUAAAAUAGGAAGAAGGAUUGCCUUCCCAAUCCCCAUUUUCCAAAAGCAUAGGUCUGUGGUCUAUAAUAACUUUUGGAAGAGCAAUUUGUUUUACAGCUUUAAAGGUGUCGCUCCAUUCAGAUGAGAUCAAAAACCUGUCUAUUCUGGAUGCUUGAAUAGAAUUUUCUCCUCUAGACCAAGUAUAGAAAGUACCUUGUAAAGGAUCUUAGAUGGUAUUUGAGAAGCUUUGCAUGGCUUUUGAUCUUCAGAUGCAAUUAUUUCACUUUUAAACCUGCAUAUAUUGAAAUCGCCACCUAUAACCCAUUGCUCAUUCCAAAUUCCUCUAAUAGAGGCAAGCUCGAGCCAUAGUUCCUCCCUUUUAGAUUAGAAUGAGGGCCAUAAACACUUGUGAAGCACCAUCGGAAUUCUUCUUGAGAACUUUCUAACAUACAAAAGAGAGUGUAUGAACCUUGCUGUUUGUCAAUGCAAUUCCACAACCUUUUAUCCCAAAAAUUUAUUAUCCCACCCUUGCUGCCACUUGCUUUGAGCUCGAUCCAGCCAGCCCAUCUAUUGCUCCACAUUUGUUGAAUCAUUUGUGAUGACCAAUUGACAACUUUUGUCUCCAACAAGCAAAUAAUGUCUGCGAAAGGUGUCUGGACACCAAGCAUGCAAAGGAAUUCCAAAAGCUUUAACCCAUUUGUGCUCCGACUUUGCGGAGGAGGUUCCGAUCAUGGGAAACCACCAAGCAAGAGAUAGACGCCUACCAUUCCAGAACCAAUCACCAGAUUUGAUGCGAGUGGUUUCUUGCCUCGACGAAAAUUCAAACAACAAUUGAUUGUGGGCUAAUGGAGUGACUUUUGAGGCCUACAGUAAUUUUUCACCUAUUGAUGAACCAUUUUUGUAUCACUUCGGAGUUGGGGCUCUGGUUGAAGGGAUCGUUCAAGACACCAACAAGGCAUCUGCUCAGAGGAUGGGAAUUUUUGACAUCAUUGUUUUGACUCAAAUCUGACCAACUCGGCAACUUCGUUGUAACGGAGUACGUUCUCAGUUGAGAUGCCGGUGAAGAAAGGUUUUUUGGGGUACCUCCGUUUACCCAAAAAGUUAAGAAUCUUAUCUGCAAUAUCUAUCCACCCCCAGUUAUGUCCAGCUUCUGGAAUUAUCACAACCAAUUUCUUCUCGCCCAACCAAAUCUCAGUUCUUAUAAAUCUCCCGUAAACAUUGUAAUUUUGGUACACUCUGAAUAUCAUGUUGUUUCCGCGGCAAUCUCCUGUAAAGAUCCACUGCACCCUUGGAAGCUUGCUUGAGAUUGUCGAAGACCCACCUUAGGUUAUCUUCAUCUAUUUUGAUGUUACUUGAGAAACGACUGCCGCAUUCUGUAAUUGAGAACCAUCUGGGAAAAUCAUCACUGAUAUUUGUAACUUCAAAGGACUUAUCAUCUGAAACAAAGAAAAUCUUAUCUCCCAUUGGGUUUGACCGUUGACAAUUUAUAUUCUAUCCACGUUCAGAUUUCCCCCAUAGUUCCUAAACUAGGAAGAAGAAGGAAAUUUAGAAAAAUAGUAAUCACAGGAUGUAAAAACUGAAUUGUUUGAAAGAAAGACGAUCAAUUCCGGCAAGUCUACCGGAAAACACAAGCAGUAUCACUGUGGACUUGCUCAAAGUUCUGUGCCAUUUGCUUCGUUGCUGGAAUAUUUGUCGGUUAUACACUGAAGCGUCGUGUACGCCUAUGGGCUUCCAAACUUCUCAAGGGAUUGAAGGACUAACAAGUUUUGGAUACUUACAAUUUCUGAUUGUAAUUUCAUUUUCCAUGUAGGUAUCACACUGUACCUUUUUUUGCCAUGUUAUACAGAAGUCUCUUAUGGCUUUUUUUUGCUUAAGCACUGAAUUGUAC